rnacentral:rRNA from 1 species
UUGACAUCCAGAGAACUUGGCAGAGAUGCCUCGGUGCCUUCGGGAACUCUGAGACAGGUGCUGCAUGGCUGUCGUCAGCUCGUGUUGUGAAAUGUUGGGUUAAGUCCGCAACGAGCGCAACCCCUAUCCUUUGUUGCCAGCGAUUCGGUCGGGAACUCAAAGGAGACUGCCGGUGAUAAACCGGAGGAAGGUGGGGAUGACGUCAAGUCAUCAUGGCCCUUACGAGUAGGGCUACACACGUGCUACAGUGGCGUAUACAAAGAGAAGCGACCUCGCGAGAGCAAGCGGACCUCAUAAAGUACGUCGUAGUCCGGAUUGGAGUCUGCAACUCGACUCCAUGAAGUCGGAAUCGCUAGUAAUCGUAGAUCAGAAUGCUACGGUGAAUACGUUCCCGGGCCUUGUACACACCGCCCGUCGCACCAUGGGAGUGGGUUGCAAAAGAAGUAGAUAGCUUAACCUUCGGGAGGGCGUUUACCACUUUGUGAUUCAUGACUGGGGUGAAGUCGUAACAAGGUAAGCGUAGCGAG